rnacentral:rRNA from 1 species
GGCUCCAAUAGCGUAUAUUAAAGUUGUUGCAGUUGAAAAGCUCGUAGUCGGACUUGUGCGGCGAGGGCGGGUUGGUGGACAUUCUGCUGGUCUUUUGAUCGGUGGGUGAUUACUGGCCCGCCGCGCCGCAUCCUUCCGGAGAGCACGCGCCUGCCCUUCAGUGGGACCGGGCGCGGGCAUUCCGGAUCAGUCACUUUGAAAAAAUUAGCGUGUUUAAAGCAGGCAUUAACCUUUUUGCUUUGAAUAGUCCAGCAUGGAAUGACAGAAUAGGACCGCCAUCCGGAGUUUACUGGCCUUCUGGCGAGUUUGCGGAAUACAUUUGGUGGUAAUGAUUGAUAGGGACAGCUUGGGGGUGCUCGUAUUCAGUGGCCAGAGGUGAAAUUCAUGGAUUCAUUGAAGACGAACUACUGCGAAAGCAUUCACCAAGGAUGUCUUCU